rnacentral:rRNA from 1 species
AGCCUGAUCCAGCCAUACCGCGUGGGUGAAGAAGGCCUUCGGGUUGUAAAGCCCUUUUGUUGGGAAAGAAAAGCAGUCGGCUAAUACCCGGUUGUUCUGACGGUACCCAAAGAAUAAGCACCGGCUAACUUCGUGCCAGCAGCCGCGGUAAUACGAAGGGUGCAAGCGUUACUCGGAAUUACUGGGCGUAAAGCGUGCGUAGGUGGUUGUUUAAGUCUGUUGUGAAAGCCCUGGGCUCAACCUGGGAAUUGCAGUGGAUACUGGGCGACUAGAGUGUGGUAGAGGGUAGUGGAAUUCCCGGUGUAGCAGUGAAAUGCGUAAAGAUCGGGAGGAACAUCCAUGGCGAAGGCAGCUACCUGGACCAACACUGACACUGAGGCACGAAAGCGUGGGGAGCAAACAGGAUUAGAUACCCUGGUAGUCCACGCCCUAAACGAUGCGAACUGGAUGUUGGGUGCAAUUUGGCACGCAGUAUCGAAGCUAACGCGUUAAGUUCGCCGCCUGGGGAGUACGGUCGCAAGACUGAAACUCAAAGGAAUUGACGGGGGCCCGCACAAGCGGUGGAGUAUGUGGUUUAAUUCGAUGCAACGCGAAGAACCUUACCUGGUCUUGACAUGUCGAGAACUUUCCAGAG